GACCCCGUAGCUCAGUGGUAGAGCGUGAGAUUCCAGUUUUAUUGGGAUUUCCUCAAGGUCAUCCGUUCGAUCCGGGUCGGGGUCA